rnacentral:snRNA from 1 species
GGAUGUGAGGGCGAUCUGACUGUUACCCCAUUGAUCACCAGGGUUGAUUCAGCUGAUCUGGCUGGCUAGACGGGUGUCCCCUUCCUCCUUCAAGGCUGCAUGCUCGGUUGAAGAGGACAACCUUCCCCAAUAGAGAAGAAUCAAGAGUAUACAGUAGCUGCGCUCCCCUGCUAGAACCUCCAAACAAGCUCAAGGGAUCACUUACAUAUAGCAGCAGCAUUUUAGCCAUGGUGAUAUAUUUAAUGUAAGAUUUAUCUGUAGAGAUAAAACUUCUAAAACUU